GCAAAAACACACGAUAUAUAAACAUUAAUAACUAUAGACAUUCGAUAUUUUAUAUGUGUGAAAAUGAUAGAAUUGCUAAAUCUAUACUGUUUGUGAUUAAGUUAUUUCAAUUUCGAGAGAUCAGGAAAUGUACGGUCUGCGAUUUCGCGAUCUACCCUUUACGCCUUGUCAAUUCANUCGGUGAGGGGUAAAGAUGUUUUAGGAGAGAAAGUAUAAAUGACAUCGGACACAAUGUCUAUCCCUUAGUUGUCACAAACCGCACGCACGAUGCAUCACGCGUCCCACUUGCAGAUACUGAUGCGCUGCGUCGCACUCUGGUGCGUUAUAAGUAGCGGGAAGACAGCAAGAACCACCGUCAAUCCAGAAAUAUUGGCGAAUUUCGCUAAGAAUGUAGCUUCGGUGCUGUNGCCAGUAAUAUUGGGCGAGCUGCAAUCCCGCAACAAUCGAUCCUUCCAAUCUUUU